ACAAGUACUCCAUUUACUGUACUCAAUCCACUCAUUGAUGUCUUUCGAGUUCUUUAAUUUGUUUUUUAGUAUUUUCCAAAUUUACCCUCCUACAGUGUCUCCCUGAUAAAUGAUACAGUUUAUGUAUUUUUUUUUAAUAUACUUCCUUUGUCUAAUACCUAUUUUGCUUAUAAUCAUGUAUAUAAUACACACUGCAAUUCCAUGCUAUUUUGCAAUUUUCAAGCACCAUUACCAGCAACAAGUGGACGAGGGCUUGCUCUGAAAACACCAAAUAUUUGCAACAACUGAAGAAAUUCAACAAGUGGCCAAGAACUUGCUCUGAUAACACCAAAUAUUCGCAUCAACUGAAGAAACUGUGACGUGAACAGACAAUUCCAGUCAAAGUUCUAGGUUGUAAUCACAAUUCAUCAAACUAAAGUGUACAUGACAUGCAAAUCUGUGUUUGUUACAUCUGUUAGUUGCAAACAUGUCAUACGUUGGUCGAUCUCGAACACGAUGACGUCCACGAAGACGUUCUUUGUCACCAAACUACAGAAUUCACUAGCUUAGGUUUUGAAAACAAUAGAAUUCACUAAUGAGAUAUUCAACUGUACAGAUCCACAUGAGCAUCAAAGCACUCCUAUCCAAGAUAUCACAACAAAUUUACCACCUUCACCUUCUGAUGAAAUAGCUAGACACAAGGACA